AAAGAGACAAGCAGCCUAGGGUGCACCCGCAGACUAAUGUCAUCCGGAGCACACAAUGUGGUAACUGCACUGGGGAUAAAGGCAGAAUACCGCCUUGGCUAUUGCAAGUUUGCCUGUUAACCCCGUAAGGACUGAGCCAUUUGUACAAGUUGUGAUCAAAACAAAAUGUAAACCUUGAAUUUGGUGUUCAGGCGUAAUUCACCUCUUUCAU